GUCGCCAUUUUGUUGGUCGAAAGAAUAAUACAAAAGAGAAAAAAAAAAACAUUUCCUGUUCGAUUUUUUUCUUUUUUCCUCUCUCUCUCUCGGUUGCGAUUGAAUCGACAAAACGAUUGAUGAAUUUGGAAUCAGAAGCUUGAAGGUUUUGAAUCGAAAGACCUGGAAUCAGAAGAAAGAUGUAAAAUACCUUAUGUGUGGAAUACUUUUGUGGAAAUUGAUGGGUCAAGUCGAUAUCUUUAACCUGAGUACCAAACAUCUUCAACUCUGUAGAUUCAUGAAUAAUGUGAACAUGGUAGCUUCUCAAAUGAUCCGAGGUUGAACAAUGCGGUGGGACAUCUUCUUUAUUCCUCUAUUCUUGUACUUUACCAUGGCUGGUGAGUUUAGCUUUCAAUUCAUUAUAAUUCAAUAAACCAUUUGCAGAACAGUAUCUGCCUCAAAUUGAAAAAAUCUGUGAAGCUGUUGAGAAAGUUGUGGUUUGAUGUGGUGUUGUGGAGGUUUCAGAGCGGUGGUGUUGUGGAGGUUUCAGAGCGGAUCCGUUUGAGGCUUUGAUGUGGCUCUGUUGGUGGCUCAGUUUAUGUUGCCUUGUAUGUAGCUGUUUGUUGUUUGUAGUUUUUUUUGUUCAGGCUGCGACUUUGGCGAAGUGUGGAGGAGUUAAUGAGCUUUUGUCACCCCUGGGGGAAGUGUGUAGGGGAGUCUGAUGUUGUGAGUAAGGUGGAGUCGGCUUAUCCAUCUCUCGUGCUAGCAGCAGCAUUGGAUUCUGAUAAGCAUUUCCCAAGCCGCUAGCAUUGGAUGCUGCACAUAUUUCUAGCGUUUGAGCUCCUAUGAACAGAGAUGCAAUGAAAUGCAUUGUUAGUGUUUUUGUGAAAUCCUAUGAACAGAGAUGGAUGAGAAUGGUGUGUAUAAAUGCUGCAAAGAUAAGCUUGUUUGUAUUGAUAUCAAUCCGGUUGAGACAGAAAUCCGUUUGAUGCAGUCAUUGACGGUCUUCUCUUUCCCUUUUAUUUUAUUGUUUCUUUUAGAUCAGCUAAUGUCUCUCUUUGUUGCAGAUCAUGAGGAACCAGCUAAUGUCUCUCUUUUACGGUCUCCUGUUUCUCAAUGGGAAGAGGCCGUGGCAGAUGCACACAAAGCAAUUGAGUUGGAUCCUUCACUGACCAAAGUUUAUCUAAGAAAGGAACUGCUUGUAUGAAGCUUGAAGAUUAUCUGACUGUGAAAACAGCUCUUGAAAAGGGUGUUUCCAUUGCAAAUGGACCUAGUGACUCCAAAUUUAAGAAGUUGAUAGAUGAAUGCGAUCUGCAAAUCACAGCUGAGUGUUGCGAUUGAUGUUCGUGGAGAGGAGGCGUAUUAUCUGCAACCGAGAUUGUUGGAAAGGUCAUCUUUCUCUAGCCAAAGUUCUGAGAUACUUGAUAAGGAUCUUUACAAGGAUCAUGAAACUAUGUAUGUUUUACUCUUCUCUUCAAAUGAGUAUCUCUUUAUGUUUUUCUGUAAUUCGCUUCAUUCUCUCUGUGUUUAUCUUGUUUGCUUUUCAUGUAUUACGUUUGUUCUGCAAAUUUAUUCAUCUGAAUUUUUUUGUUUACGCACAAAAAUGCGUUCAAACACGAACUUACUUUAUUGGAGAUGUUACUUAUCCUAA